UCGCGUGGUGUCCGGUGCGCCCC
rnacentral:siRNA from 1 species